UUCGGGUUGGUGAGUUUCGGUUUUUGGUUGCCGUGAGUUUGAGUUGUAUUUUCGUCGGUUCUUGAGUUUCCGUGACUUGUGAUUCCUAGUUAUUGGACUUUCAGUUUCUCGGGUAAUCAGUGAAGCUAAUUCCGGAGAAUCUAUUCUUUUCUUUCACUGGUGACGAGAUUGAUAGAGAUCAUUUUCAAGACUUAGAUAAUACGCUGCAGG